rnacentral:rRNA from 1 species
GCUAGCGACAGGCUAACACAUGCAAGUCGGAGGGGCAGCAUAGAAGUAGCAAUACUUGGUGGCGACCGGCGCACGGGUGAGUAACGCGUAUGCAACCUACCUAUCAGAGGGGAAUAACCCGGCGAAAGUCGGACUAAUACCGCAUAAAACAGGGGCACCGCAUGGUGAUAUUUGUUAAAGAAAUUCGCUGAUAGAUGGGCAUGCGUUCCAUUAGGUAGUUGGUGAGGUAACGGCUCACCAAGCCGACGAUGGAUAGGGGAACUGAGAGGUUGGUCCCCCACACUGGUACUGAGACACGGACCAGACUCCUACGGGAGGCAGCAGUGAGGAAUAUUGGUCAAUGGGCGGGAGCCUGAACCAGCCAAGUCGCGUGAAGGAAGAAGGAUCUAUGGUUCGUAAACUUCUUUUGCAGGGGAAUAAAGUGCGGGACGUGUCCUGUUUUGUAUGUACCCUGAGAAUAAGGAUCGGCUAACUCCGUGCCAGCAGCAGC